GUUCUGGAUGAGGGUCCUUUAUAUCUUUAAUUUUCAGACCAUUAACAUUUUCUCUGUUUCUUCAUUUAUAAUGUGUCCUUUACUUUCAAUAAUUUUCAAUAUUCAGUCUAAUUAUAAUUUAGAAGUUGAACCCCAUGAUUCUCAAAUGUUCUUUGUUCUAUUUUUUGCAUUUUUACUCUCCUCUUUCCUUUCUUUAUUUUUUCUCAUUAUUCUGCACUUUAAUUCGUCCAUCAUUCUUUAUUCUUUCCUCCCGAAACGGUUUCCAGACCCUCACUUUAGCAAAUGUACGUGAGUACGCAAACACGGAAUUCUCACCGUUACCAUUUUGUAUACUAUGACGCAAUACUAUGGACGCUCACGAGCUGCGGAUGGAGGUUUCAAAUUUUUUAAACUAACUGCAAGAAUGGACAGAGUCAGAGAUAUAUGGUAUAAACAACUCUGGUUGUUCAAACUGAUGGCCAAACCGAUUAACAAAUAAAUGGAAAUAGAUAACUUGUAGAUUCACUGGAAAAAACCAGGA
rnacentral:lncRNA from 1 species